rnacentral:rRNA from 1 species
UACGAAGGGGGCUAGCGUUGCUCGGAAUCACUGGGCGUAAAGGGCGCGUAGGCGGCCUGCUAAGUCGAACGUGAAAUCCCCGAGCUCAACUCGGGAACUGCGUCCGAUACUGGCAGGCUUGAAUCCGGGGAGAGGGAUGCGGAAUUCCAGGUGUAGCGGAUGAAAUGCGUAGAAUAUCAGGAGGAACACCGAUGGCGAAGGCAGGUCACUGGGCCGCAACUGACGCUGAGGAGCGAAAGCAUGGGGAGCGAACAGG